rnacentral:rRNA from 1 species
GAAAGAUGGCUUUGGCUAUCACUCUGGGAUGGACCUGCGGUGCAUUAGCUAGUUGGUAAGGUAACGGCUUACCAAGGCGAUGAUGCAUAGCCGAGUUGAGAGACUGAUCGGCCACAAUGGAACUGAGACACGGUCCAUACUCCUACGGGAGGCAGCAGUAGGGAAUCUUCCACAAUGGGCGCAAGCCUGAUGGAGCAACACCGCGUGAGUGAAGAAGGGUUUCGGCUCGUAAAGCUCUGUUGUUGGAGAAGAACGUGCGUGAGAGUAACUGUUCACGCAGUGACGGUAUCCAACCAGAAAGUCACGGCUAACUACGUGCCAGCAGCCGCGGUAAUACGUAGGUGGCAAGCGUUAUCCGGAUUUAUUGGGCGUAAAGCGAGCGCAGGCGGUUGCUUAGGUCUGAUGUGAAAGCCUUCGGCUUAACCGAAGAAGUGCAUCGGAAACCGGGCGACUUGAGUGCAGAAGAGGACAGUGGAACUCCAUGUGUAGCGGUGGAAUGCGUAGAUAUAUGGAAGAACACCAGUGGCGAAGGCGGCUGUCUGGUCUGCAACUGACGCUGAGGCUCGAAAGCAUGGGUAGCGAACAGGAUUAGAUACCCUGGUAGUCCAUGCC